rnacentral:pre_miRNA from 1 species
AUAUUACUCCCUCCGUCCAAAAAUACUUGUCAUCAAAAUGGAUGUAUCUAGAACUAAAAUACGUCUAGAUACAUCCAUGUCAAUGACAAGUAUUUCCGGACGAAGGAAGUACAUC